AGUACCGUGAGGGAAAGGUGAAAAGAACCCCGGGAGGGGAGUGAAAUAGAACCUGAAACCGUGUGCCUACAACCGCUCAGAGCCCCUUAUGAGGGUGAUGAGGUGCUUUUUGUAGAACGAGCCAACGAGUUACGGUAUGUAGCAAGGUUAAGUACUUAAGGUACGGAGCCGAAGGGAAACCGAGUCUGAAUAGGGCGACUAGUUGCAUGCCGUAGACCCGAAACCGGGUGACCUAUCCAUGGCCAGGUUGAAGCGAGGGUAAAACCUCGUGGAGGACCGAACCACGUUGCUGUUGAAAAAGCAUGGGAUGAGCUGUGGAUAGCGGAGAAAUUCCAAUCGAACCCGGAGAUAGCUGGUUCUCUCCGAAAUAGCUUUAGGGCUAGCGUCGAGUAUGAGUAGUGGAGGUAGAGCACUGAAUGGGCUAGGGGGCAUAGCGCUUACCGAACCUUAUCAAACUCCGAAUGCCACAUACUUUGAGCUCGGCAGUCAGACUACGAAUGAUAAGAUCCGUGGUCAAAAGGGAAACAGCCCAGAUCGUCAGCUAAGGUCCCAAAGUGUAAGUUAAGUGGGAAAGGAUGUGAGAUUUCUAAGACAACUAGGAUGUUGGCUUAGAAGCAGCCAUUCAUUAAAAGAGUGCGUAAUAGCUCACUAGUCGAGAGAUCUUGCGCCGAAAAUGUAACGGGGCUAAACUUACCACCGAAGCUACGGGCUUGAACUUAGUUCAAGCGGUAGGAGAGCGUCGUAACCGGGCUGAAGUCGUACCGUAAGGAGCGGUGGACUGGUUACGAGUGAGAAUGUUGGCAUCAGUAGCGAGAUGUGGGUGAGAAUCCCACAGGCCGAAAACCUAAGGUUUCCUCAGGAAGGUUCGUCCGCUGAGGGUUAGUCGGGACCUAAGCCGAGGCCGAAAGGCGUAGGUGAUGGACAACUGGUUGAUAUUCCAGUACCACUACCAUCGUUAUUAUCGAUGGCGUGACGCAGGAGGAUAGUGUGUGCUAGCUAUUGGAUGCUAGUCUAAGCGUUUAGGCAGUGAGAGUAGGCAAAUCCGCUCUCAUAAUGCUGAGGCGUGAUGGGGAAGGUUCUACGGAACCGAAGUACAUGAUUCCACGCUGCCAAGAAAAGCGUCUAGAGAGAGAAGUAGUGCCCGUACCGCAAACCGACACAGGUAGGUGAGGAGAGAAUCCUAAGGCCGGCGGAAGAAUUACAGUUAAGGAACUCGGCAAAUUGACCCCGUAAGUUCGCGAGAAGGGGUGCCUACGAGAGUAGGCCGCAGAGAAUAGGCCCAAGCAACUGUUUAGCAAAAACACAGGUCUCUGCUAAAGCGUAAGCUGAUGUAUAGGGGCUGACGCCUGCCCGGUGCUGGAAGGUUAAGGGGAACACUUAGCGCAAGCGAAGGUGUGAACUUAAGCCCCAGUAAACGGCGGCCGUAACUAUAACGGUCCUAAGGUAGCGAAAUUCCUUGUCAGGUAAGUUCUGACCCGCACGAAUGGCGUAAUGACUUGGGCACUGUCUCAACUGUAAAUCCGGCGAAGUUGUAGUGCGAGUGAAGAUGCUCGCUACCCGCGAUUGGACGGAAAGACCCCGUAGAGCUUUACUGUAGCUUAGCAUUGAGUUUUGGUAUUGUCUGUACAGGAUAGGUGGGAGACUAGGAAACCAGGGCGUCAGCCUUGGUGGAGUCAACCUUGGGAUACCACCCUGACAGUACUGAAAUUCUAACUGGCGGCCAUGAAUCUGGUCACAGGACAUUGUUAGGUGGGCAGUUUGACUGGGGCGGUCGCCUCCUAAAAAGUAACGGAGGCGCCCAAAGGUUCCCUCAGAACGGUCGGAAAUCGUUCGAAGAGUGCAAAGGCAGAAGGGAGCCUGACUGCGACACCCACAAGUGGAGCAGGGACGAAAGUCGGGCUUAGUGAUCCGGUGGUACCUCGUGGGAGGGCCAUCGCUCAACGGAUAAAAGCUACCUCGGGGAUAACAGGCUGAUCUCCCCCAAGAGUCCACAUCGACGGGGAGGUUUGGCACCUCGAUGUCGGCUCGUCGCAUCCUGGGGCUGAAGUAGGUCCCAAGGGUUGGGCUGUUCGCCCAUUAAAGCGGCACGCGAGCUGGGUUCAGAACGUCGUGAGACAGUUCGGUCCCUAUCCGUCGCGGGCGUAGGAAAUUUGAGAGGAGCUGUCCUUAGUACGAGAGGACCGGGAUGGACUGACCUCUGGUGUACCAGUUGUUCCGCCAGGAGCACAGCUGGGUAGCUAAGUCGGGAAUGGAUAAACGCUGAAAGCAUCUAAGCGUGAAGCCAACCUCAAGAUGAGAUUUCCCAUAGCGUAAGCUAGUAAGAUCCCUUGAAGAACACAAGGUUGAUAGGUCGGGGGUGUAAGCAUGGUAACAUGUUCAGCUGACCGAUACUAAUAGAUCGAGGGCUUGACCAA
rnacentral:rRNA from 1 species